UACGUAGGGGGCAAGCGUUGUCCGGAUUUAUUGGGCGUAAAGAGCGUGUAGGCGGCCUGAAAGGUCAGCUGUGAAAACUCGAGGCUCAACCUCGAGACGUCGGUUGAAACCAUCUGGCUAGAGUCCGGAAGAGGAGUGUGGAAUUCCCGGUGUAGUGGUGAAAUGCGUAGAUAUCGGGAGGAACACCAGUGGCGAAGGCGACUAUCUGGGCUGCAACUGACGCUGAGGCGCGAAGGCUAGGGUAGCAAACAGG
rnacentral:rRNA from 1 species